AUUGAACGCUGGCGGCAGGCCUAACACAUGCAAGUCGAACGAGACGCGGACGUGUGAGCAAUGUCUGUGAAACUUAGUGAUGGAUGGGGACAACAACUGGAAACUGUAGCCAAAUCCGCAUACAAUCAGAUGUGCCGCAAUGGGCUUAGCUUGUUGUUGGGGUAACGGCUCACCACGUUGCCGAUCCCUGACUUGUCUGAGAGGAUGACCAGCCACACGUGAACUGUGACACGGGCCGUACUCCUACGGGAGGCAGCAGUGGGGAAUAGUUCAUAAUGGGCGCAAGCCUGAUGCAGCCAUGCCGGUGUGAUGAAGAAGGCCUUCGGGUUGUAAAGUACUUUAAGCUGGGAGGCGUUACCCACAGAAAAAGCCCCGGCUCACUCCGUGCCCGCCGCCGCGGUAAUAC
rnacentral:rRNA from 1 species